UCUCUCUCUCUCUCUCUCUCUCAAAGACCAGAACUCAUCUCUCGAUGAAAACAGAAAACCCACAGAUUCACCAAUUGUUUAUUAGUCAUCUCCAACCCAAACAUGAAACCCCCAGAUUAAAACUCCCAACUUUUCAUAGUCUCCAAAAACCGAUCUUUCACUGAUACGAUAUCAAAUUCUUCAAUCUCCUCUCUCAUUCUCGAGUUUCUUUUGGCACCCAGUGGCUGUGGAGUUUGUUAUCUGCACUCAAGGAAGCUGAGGAGAAAUGCAAAGUCUUCAGCAGAAGCUCGAGUCUCUCAUUGAGGUAGGUUUUAGUGGAUAUUGAAAUAAUGAAUUGUAGGGGCUGGACGAAUUGUUCAUCGGUAAAGUUAGCUUAGAAUUCGAAAGUUCAAUUCUUUAUUUGCUGGGCAGUUUGAGUUAUUUUAUAAAAACAGUUUAUACAUUAAAUUCACAAUCAUUCAUAAGUUUGUUCCUUAUUUCUAAUUCUGAUUCUAUUUGGGUUUGCUUGAUUUCUUUCAAAUAAGCUUUGAAGGGUUGGAGCUGAGAAAUUGGGGCCUAGAAAAGAGAUGGUUCCCAGCAAGUAUUAGAUUGUUUAAGAACCGAGAAAAAGCACAAACCGAACCGAUUAGAAAUGGUU
rnacentral:lncRNA from 1 species